CCAGUCAGAACUAGUCUGCUGGAGAUUUGGGUAUGCAGUCGUCAUCGUCUAAUCUCAGUGGAUUCUUUGUUUUAUUUGUGAAUGCAGAGAAAUAAAAACAGUGAGAAGAGUUCGUGUGGAGUCAUAC